UACAGAGGUCCCAAGCGUUGUUCGGAUUCACUGGGCGUAAAGGGUGCGUAGGCGGUCGGGUAAGUCUGAUGUGAAAUCUCACAGCUUAACUGUGAAACUGCAUUGGAUACUAUCGGCUUGAGAGUUGGAGGGGGACGUGGAAUUCUUGGUGUAGCAGUGAAAUGCGUAGAUAUCAAGAGGAACACCAGUGGCGAAGGCGAGUCCCUGGACAACUUCGUGACGCUGAGGCACGAAAGCUAGGGGAGCAAACAGG
rnacentral:rRNA from 1 species